rnacentral:lncRNA from 1 species
AGUCGCCUCCGGAGGAAGGAAGAAGAGGACGCCGGGCGCGCAGCUCGGUGCUGAUUAUCACAACUGUUUGGUGACCUACUUCACUGACCUGUGAGGAUUCCUUCCCUUCAGGUACUGGAUUCUUGAUCUUUCUGCAUCAUCAAGGUCCUAAUUGCAAUGAAUUACACUCUUGCUUAAAAAAAAGCUUUAUAAAUGUAAAACUUUCUCAUAUAAACAUCUUUUUAUGUAAUGAUCAUUAUUUCUGACAUCUCCAAUUGAAGUACUUGAUAACUUAAGCAAAAUUAAGAUGUUUGAUAUUCAUGAUGUCAAGAGAUUUAUAGUAGUCAUUUCUAAAUCUUCAAAACUAUGUAAAAAAGAAAGGGCUCAUUUUGUAUGUAUAAGACCAAAUAUAAUCUUGAGCAGUAUACUGAUUAUUUUUGGAAUAAGGUAAAAUUUGGAAAGCCAAAUUUUUUUUCCUAUAUAAUAAGUCAAUUUGAGCUUUCAGUUACCCAACAGAUUGCUCCAGCAAUAAUUGGUAAUUUUAUAAUUAACUUCUGUUGUUUGUAGCGAGUGACUAAUUCUGUAAAGUGCUGUGAGAGACGAGAUAAAGAGUCUUUAAAACAUUAUUAAUUGAAAUAGGAUUGGAGGAAUACAUUAUACAUUUGCUAU